rnacentral:other from 1 species
CCGUAGCUGGGAUGCGCGCCAGGUGAGCAGAUCUCUGGGGCCAUAAGACUCUUCUUGGGAGUUGCCGCUGCCGGAGCCGUGGUUCUGGUAUUGUGACGCCCACCUGCUUUCGCAGGCCACAGAAGAUUGUCAAUACCAGCGGCAUUCUGGCUACGCU